rnacentral:rRNA from 1 species
GUGGGGAAUUUUGGACAAUGGGCGAAAGCCUGAUCCAGCCAUGCCGCGUGUAGGAUGAAGGCCUUCGGGUUGUAAACUGCUUUUGUACGGAACGAAAAGACUCCUUCUAAUAAAGGGGGUCCAUGACGGUACCGUAAGAAUAAGCACCGGCUAACUACGUGCCAGCAGCCGCGGUAAUACGUAGGGUGCAAGCGUUAAUCGGAAUUACUGGGCGUAAAGCGUGCGCAGGCGGUUAUAUAAGACAGAUGUGAAAUCCCCGGGCUCAACCUGGGAACUGCAUUUGUGACUGUAUAGCUAGAGUACGGUAGAGGGGGAUGGAAUUCCGCGUGUAGCAGUGAAAUGCGUAGAUAUGCGGAGGAACACCGAUGGCGAAGGCAAUCCCCUGGACCUGUACUGACGCUCAUGCACGAAAGCGUGGGGAGCAAACAGGAUUAGAAACCCUGGUAGUCC